rnacentral:rRNA from 1 species
AUUGAACGCUGGCGGCAUGCUUUACACAUGCAAGUCGAACGGGGUGGGGGGCAACUCCCAUUCAGUGGCGAACGGGUGAGUAAUGCAUCGGAACGUAUCCCGUAGUGGGGGACAACGCCGCGAAAGCGGCGCUAAUACCGCAUAUGCUCUACGGAGGAAAGUGGGGGACCGCAAGGCCUCACGCUAUGGGAGCGGCCGAUGUCCGAUUAGCUAGUUGGUGGGGUAAUGGCCCACCAAGGCGACGAUCGGUAGCUGGUCUGAGAGGAUGAUCAGCCACACUGGGACUGAGACACGGCCCAGACUCCUACGGGAGGCAGCAGUGGGGAAUUUUGGACAAUGGGGGCAACCCUGAUCCAGCCAUGCCGCGUGCGGGAAGAAGGCCUUCGGGUUGUAAACCGCUUUUAGUCGGGAAGAAAAGGCGUCUCCUAAUACGGGGCGUUCUUGACGGUACCGGCGGAAUAAGCACCGGCUAACUACGUGCCAGCCGCCGCCGUAACAC